GGAGGACCCCCUAAGGAAGAAGGUAUGAUCCAGAGAAACAUGAAAAAGAACAAAACAAGGAAGAGAGUUGUGGCUGUAAAAGAUCUGCCGUGAGGUUGUUAAAUGAGAGUCUAUGUCUUGGCUCAUUUCUACCCCUAAUGAGAGGUCUCCUGCAAGAGUGUUUGUCCAGAGGACACAGUGAUUCCUGUCCUGCUGUGGAGAAGAGACUGGGAGAGUGCACUGCAGCAAGCAUGAGCUAUGCAGCAGGAACCCUUGAACUGCAGAUACAGGAUAUGAUGUCACAGCACUAUGAAGUACAGCAGUAUGGGCAGUAAUCCUGGAAAGCAGAUGAGUAGCAAAAACCAGGAAUGCCUGGCAGCUGAAAACAUUAAACAGGAAGGAAUGGCCAGAAAAAAGAGGCUUGUAAACAGGACAAGUGUAUGAGUGUUUUACUGGCUGUACACUCAUGACCAUGGAACUGCAUGGAUGGAUGUCUACCACAGGAACAGAAAAGGAAGUAGAACAGUCCAUGAAGUCUGUAUGAGGAGCAUGGUGAAGCCUCAGACUCACCUGGAAGAGGAAUGCUGAUUGGAGAUUUAGGCUUUGUAGGAAUGGAGAACCAACUUCAAUCCAUGGCUUGUUCUUGAAGGUAGCACACCACUGUGCACAGGUUUGGGAAUGCUGCAUGCUUGGCUCCAGCAGGGGCUUGCCACACUCAAGAGCCCCACAAAUUAUCAGUGAUCAAGUAAACACGCCCUGAUAUA